UACGUAGGUGGCAAGCGUUGUUCGGAAUUAUUGGGCGUAAAGGGCGCGUAGGCGGCCUGUUAAGUCGAACGUGAAAUCCCCGGGCUCAACCCGGGAACUGCGUCCGAUACUGGCAGGCUUGAAUCCGGGAGAGGGAUGCGGAAUUCCAGGCGUAGCGGUGAAAUGCGUAGAUAUCUGGAGGAACACCGGUGGCGAAGGCGGCAUCCUGGACCGGCAUUGACGCUGAGGCGCGAAAGCGUGGGGAGCGAACAGG
rnacentral:rRNA from 1 species